GGUAUCAGGGGAUGAAAUCUCGAAACAAUCUUAGGACACCUUCUGACACAGUGCUAUUACCCUGCGCUGUGCAUGAGAUCGAAAUUUUUUUCUGAUGGUACU